AAGCGUUGUUCGGAUUUAUUGGGCGUAAAGCGCGUGUAGGCGGCUUCUUAAGUCUGAUGUGAAAGCCCUGGGCUCAACCCGGGAAGUGCAUUGGAAACUGGGAAACUUGAAUACGGGAGAGGGUAGUGGAAUUCCUGGUGUAGGAGUGAAAUCCGUAGAUAUCAGGAGGAACACCGGUGGCGAAGGCGGCUACCUGGACCGAUAUUGACGCUGAGACGCGAAAGCGUGGGUAGCAAACAGGAUUAGAUACCCUGGUAGUCCACGCCGUAAACGAUGAGUACUAGGUGUUGCGGGUAUUGACCCCUGCAGUGCC
rnacentral:rRNA from 1 species